GACGAACGCUGGCGGCGUGCCUAAUACAUGCGAGUCGAACGCUUCUUUCCUCCCGAGUGCUUGCACUCAAUUGGAAAGAGGAGUGGCGGACGGGUGAGUAACACGUGGGUAACCUACCCAUCAGAGGGGGAUAACACUUGGAAACAGGUGCUAAUACCGCAUAACAGUUUAUGCCGCAUGGCAUAAGAGUGAAAGGCGCUUUCGGGUGUCGUUGAUGGAUGGACCCGCGGUGCAUUAGCUAGUUGGUGAGGUAACGGCUCACCAAGGCCACGAUGCAUAGCCGACCUGAGAGGGUGAUCGGCCACACUGGGACUGAGACACGGCCCAGACUCCUACGGGAGGCAGCAGUAGGGAAUCUUCGGCAAUGGACGAAGGUCUGACCGAGCAACGCCGCGUGAGUGAAGAAGGUUUUCGGAUCGUAAAACUCUGUUGUUAGAGAAGAACAAGGACGUUAGUAACUGAACGUCCCCUGACGGUAUCUAACCAGAAAGCCACGGCUAACUACGUG
rnacentral:rRNA from 1 species